rnacentral:rRNA from 1 species
UACGGAGGGUGCAAGCGUUAUCCGGAUUCACUGGGUUUAAAGGGUGCGUAGGUGGGCAGGUAAGUCAGUGGUGAAAUCUCCGAGCUUAACUCGGAAACUGCCAUUGAUACUAUCUGCCUUGAAUAUCCUGGAGGUGAGCGGAAUAUGUCAUGUAGCGGUGAAAUGCUUAGAUAUGACAUAGAACACCAAUUGCGAAGGCAGCUCACUACGGGAUGAUUGACGCUGAGGCACGAAAGCGUGGGGAUCAAACAGG